rnacentral:rRNA from 1 species
ACGUAGGGGGCGAGCGUUAUUCGGAAUUACUGGGUGUAAAGGGUAUGUAGGCGGCCCUUCAAGUCGCGUGUCAAAGUCCAGUGCUCAACGCUGGGUGUGCACGCGAUACUGACGGGCUUGAGGGCUGGAGAGGUGAGCGGAAUUCCCGGUUAAGGGGUAGAAUCCGCAGAGAUUGAAAGGAUCACCCGCGGCGAUGGCGAAUAAGUAGGCAGUUUCUGUGGCUAGGAGACGCACGCGUGGGCAGCAAACAG